rnacentral:rRNA from 1 species
ACACUGUUCAUGGGUUACCGCGGCUGCUGGCACGGAGUUAGCCGGUGCUUCUUCUGUGAGUGAUGUCCUUCCUGCCGGUUAUUGACCCGCAGGCCUUCUUCCUCACUGAAAGUGCUUUACAACCCGAAGGCCUUCUUCACACACGCGGCAUGGCUGGAUCAGGGUUGCCCCCAUUGUCCAAUAUUCCCCACUGCUGCCUCCCGUAGGAGUCUGGGCCGUGUCUCAGUCCCAGUGUGGCUGAUCAUCCUCUCAGACCAGCUACGGAUCGUCGCCUUGGUGAGCCGUUACCUCACCAACCAGCUAAUCCGACAUAGGCUCAUCCGAUAGCGCGAGGCCCGAAGGUCCCCCGCUUUCCCCCGUAGGGCGUAUGCGGUAUUAGCCUGGGUUUCCCCAGGUUAUCCCCACUACCGGGCAGAUUCCUAUGCAUUACUCACCCGUCCGCCGCUCGCCACCAGGGAGCAAGCUCCCCGUGCUGCCGCUCGACUUGCAUGUGUUAGGCCUGCCGCCAGCGUUCAAU